rnacentral:lncRNA from 1 species
CAAAGGCAUAUAUCACCAUUCUCCAAGAGAAAUUUGACCUAGAGCUAGCGACUUUGACAUAUUUUCCUCUUCAUGGUAUCAACUACUGUUGUUGGUAUUUGUCAUUAGCUUAAUCAAUGUUUGGGUUGUAUAUAUAAGCAUUGAAAGAUGCAAUUUAUCUGCAGAUAAUCCUGUGGAAGACGAUGAUGUUAGGGAAAUUAAUGCUCGUCUACUAAAUUAGUUAACCAAAUGACGGUGGCACUCUUUUAGUGAUUAUUUCAGGUAGUAAAUCCUGUUUAAGCGCCCAAUUAAUGUCACUUCUAGUAAAUGUGUUAAUAUAUGUAGCAAUGCUCCUCCCAAUUAUAAAGACAAAGAAAGACUUCAAAAGAACAUAGAAGCAUGCUCUCACCAGAGAGGGAGGGAGAGAGACGUGAUUGCAAACUGACAUGGGUCGUAGGGCUUUAUCAUUCUUCAAUAAAUUGGUCGAAUGAAUAAUUUACAAUCAAGACAUGCAUGUUGUCCACCUGCCUCCUUUAGUCUACUACUCAAGAACUGAAUGACCCGGCAAAGAUUAUUAAGAAAUGAAAAGGCGCUUGGAGCGAGACCCUUUCCUGGUGGAGAUGACCGUAUCUUCAGCAGCUCAUAAGUCGGUCUGAUAAUUGUCAGGCUUGUACCACAACGAAA